rnacentral:rRNA from 1 species
AGAAUCAACGCUGGCGGCGUGCCUAACACAUGCAAGUCGAACGAGAAAGGGGUAGCAAUACCCUGAGUAAAGUGGCGCACGGGUGAGUAACACGUGACUAACCUACCCUUGAGUGGGGGAUAACUGAGGGAAACCUUAGCUAAUACCGCAUAAUACCCACGGGUCAAAGGAGCAAUUCGCUCGAGGAGGGGGUCGCGGCCGAUUAGUUAGUUGGCGGGGUAAUGGCCCACCAAGACGAUGAUCGGUAUCCGGCCUGAGAGGGCGCACGGACACACUGGAACUGAAACACGGUCCAGACUCCUACGGGAGGCAGCAGUGGGGAAUUUUGCGCAAUGGGGGAAACCCUGACGCAGCAACGCCGCGUGGAGGAUGAAGUCCUUCGGGACGUAAACUCCUUUCGAUCGGGACGAUUAUGACGGUACCGGAAGAAGAAGCCCGGCUAACUUCGCGCCAGCACGCCGC